rnacentral:rRNA from 1 species
GAUGAACGCUGGCGGCGUGCCUAAUACAUGCAAGUAGAACGCUGAAGGAGGAGCUUGCUCUUUCCGGAUGAGUUGCGAACGGGUGAGUAACGCGUAGGUAACCUGCCUGGUAGCGGGGGAUAACUAUUGGAAACGAUAGCUAAUACCGCAUAACAGUAGAUAUUGCAUGAUAUUUGCUUGAAAGGGGCAAUUGCUCCACUACCAGAUGGACCUGCGUUGUAUUAGCUAGUUGGUGAGGUAACGGCUCACCAAGGCGACGAUACAUAGCCGACCUGAGAGGGUGAUCGGCCACACUGGGACUGAGACACGGCCCAGACUCCUACGGGAGGCAGCAGUAGGGAAUCUUCGGCAAUGGACGGAAGUCUGACCGAGCGACGCCGCGUGAGUGAAGAAGGUUUUCGGAUCGUAAAGCUCUGUUGUAAGAGAAGAACGAGUGUGAGAGUGGAAAGUUCACACUGUGACGGUAUCUUACCAGAAAGGGACGGCUAACUACGUG